CAGCAACACUUUGUCAACAAGUAAAACAAUACAGUAAAAUAUAUUUCACUAAUAAAGAUCAAUAUAUCCAGAAAGGACUUAGCCAGCUAUACGAUGUUGAAGGUGGCCAAAAGUCUGACGCCUGGUAGUAGUCACCUCAGCAACUGGAGCUUCUUUUGUUCGAAGCUUCGUCCUCAAGAGCUUCCUCUUGGUCGACUUCUGGACCAUUUGCUUCUUCCAUCACAUCAUCAGCUAGGGUCUAAGGAACUUCUUCCAAAAACCUUGCCCUGAGUUCGAUAGCAUCCAGCUCUAGAUGGAAUUUCCACACUCUAACUACCAUCUUGACAUAGAUGAACCUCCGCUAGUAGGCACCAAAACGCUGAUACUCCUGCGUCAAGUGAAGCAAUGUAGUUCUUCACUACCUCCUUACCUGCCUUAGAGCAUCAACUUUGGCUUGUUCUACUUCCUUUACAUAGUAGGACAAGUCAAUCUCCAAAAACAUAGCCUUGCCCUUAAGGCUAACAAUUUCCAAAUUGGCCUUCUCCAGAGCCUCAACGGUAAACUUUUGAUUAUAUCAGAAGUAUCUGCCUUUUUUGUCAAAUAAGCCACCUUGCAUUGGAACUCG
rnacentral:lncRNA from 1 species